AUGCACAUUGCGCGUGGUUUCCGUGGCUCGUCGGCGGUCGGGGACACGGGGAGGCAAACGCGAGCAAUCAGGGUCUUUCUGUGUCUGUUCCUCCAAUCCUUAAAUCUUCUAUUUGAUCGUUAACUCCCGUGGUUUGAUGUCGUUCAUGCUUAGUUAUUUGAUUUCCCUUUUUUUUUUCUUCGGCUUUUUUGAGGAGACAUUUACAUUUACCUUUGUUAUGGAAGCACCCUUUGUUAGAUCUGAAUCACUCGCUGAAAAAUCAAUGAUGUAUCGUCCUAUUUGAUCUGGCUAACAUUGAUCACUGUCUUUUGUUUUGGUUUUCUUUCAUGUAUAAGUAAAAGGAGCAAUUUCAUAUAUUCAAUUGAUUUGGCUUGACUCUGGAAGGAUUUCUUUUUUUUUUUUUCUUUCCGUGUGAGAUAUAUGAAGAAACUGAAAUUCGAGUUAGCAUAUUGGUUCGGGAAGUUGGACGAUAAGUAUUAUAUAGGAACAGCAUUUUAAGGUUUCUGGCAAGAGAUAUGAUGCACAAGAUAGCUGUGCAUGGAUGGUAUAUUGGGGCAUUUGAACUUCCCUGGAGGAUUAUUCGGUGGCAGAACAGGGCCCAGGCAGGUGGAGCAUACUUAGGUCUAAUGGUCUCACUAUUAUUAUAUGAAUUCUUCCAAUAGAUAAUGGUUGCACUGGGUUGAAUCUCGAGCAAAUUUCAGUUGUUAUCUGUUAUUUUCUGUUAGGGGGCAUUGCGUGGUGGUGCAAUGGGAGAAGGAUUGGGCUAACAACCCUCCCAGGAUUCCCGAUUGCUGGGGCCAUAACUGAGAAGCCUGCUGGUAGGGGAUGCCACUCCUUUUAGAACCUUGCAAUGAGUUGCAUCGAUUUACUACAACCUUUGAAGGUUUGAACAAACUUUCCAAUCAGUUAUAAUCUAUGAGGAGUUUUUGCACUCAAAUGGAUUUAUGAUGUCCAUGAUGGAGGUAAGUUGAUGGAAGGUGCAAGCGGAGGAGCUGAGCUUCAUACUUUUCCUAAUAUGUGCUGAUCGGUGUCUAAGAAGGCCUGUUGAGUAUUUUUGGGUAUUUUUGGUAAGUGCUGAUCGUCGUUUUUGUUUUGUCUUUGGCAUUUCUUGAUUAUUAUGUAUUAACCCAUGGCUGUAAAUAACUUUCAUAAGCUGCCAUUAUUCACAUGUGAAGAGCGGGACCUUAUCUGAGUUUACACAAGAACCAAAAAAAAAGCAAGAAGAUUGAUGAUCAAGACUCCGGAUAUUUUGCCGAUUUCCUGGGCGUAUUUGUAUUUCUUUUGGUAAUUGCUUUUCAUUAUGCGAUGGCUGAACCAAAAUAUGAGGGAAAUUAAAUAGUAAACUGUUGAUGAUUUAGAAACAAGGAGAUCAGAGCCUUCAUCUUGCAACCUUGAUGGUACAAUCUUAUGCUUUGUAUGCCACGGAUACUUUUGCUGUUUAGUGUUACAAGGGAAACUCAAACAAAUUUGGUGAUGUUCUAUUUUUUUUUUUUGUUGGGUCAUGACGAACUUUUAGCUUUCAUCGUAUCAAAAUGAAUGGUGUUAAACAUUAUGAAAAGAA